GACGUAGGGUGCAAGCGUUGUCCGGAUUUAUUGGGCGUAAAGAGCUCGUAGGCGGCUUGUUGCGUCGACUGUGAAAACCCGCGGCUUAACCGCGGGCUUGCAGUUGAUACGGGCAGGCUAGAGUUCGGUAGGGGAGACUGGAAUUCCUGGUGUAGCGGUGAAAUGCGCAGAUAUCAGGAGGAACACCGGUGGCGAAGGCGGGUCUCUGGGCCGAUACUGACGCUGAUGCGCGAAAGCCAGGGGAGCGAACGGG
rnacentral:rRNA from 1 species